GCCUAACACAUCGCAAGUCGAACGGAGAAUUUCGAAGAGUUUACUCAGAGAAAUUUUUAGUGGCGGACGGGUGAGUAGCGCGUGGGUAACCUACCCAUAAAACCGGGACAACCCUUGGAAACGAGGGCUAAUACCGGAUAAUCUUUGGAAGUGGCAUCACUUCUUAAGAAAAGGUGGCCUCUGAGUAUGCUACCGAUUAUGGAUGGACCCGCGUCUGAUUAGCUAGUUGGUGGGGUAAAGGCCUACCAAGGCGACGAUCAGUAGCCGGCCUGAGAGGGUGAACGGCCACACUGGGACUGAGACACGGCCCAGACUCCUACGGGAGGCAGCAGUGGGGAAUCUUCCGCAAUGGACGAAAGUCUGACGGAGCAACGCCGCGUGUAUGAUGAAGGUCUUCGGAUUGUAAAGUACUGUCUUUGGGGAAGAAUGUCAGGUUUGAAAAUACUGAGCCUGAAUGACGGUACCCAAGGAGGAAGCCCCGGCUACUACGUGCCAGCAGCCGCGGUAUACGUAGGGGGCAAGCGUUGUCGGAAUAUUGGGCGUAAGGCGCGUAGGCGAUAGUAAGUCCGUGUGAGAUCAGGCUCACCUGAGGUGCAUCGAACUGGUAUCUGAG
rnacentral:rRNA from 1 species